rnacentral:lncRNA from 1 species
AGGUGCUGUCUCUCCUGCUGUUGUUGUUCUUUACACGAUGGUGUUGCAAGAAAAUGGAUAUGGUGUUGAGGAAGACAUUCCAACCUUACUAAUGGCUGCUAGCAGUAUGGAUGACAUUCUGGCUCUCACUGGAUUCAAUACAUGCUUGAGCAUAGUCUUCUCCUCGGGUGGUAUGCUUAAUAACGCCAUAGCCUCUAUAGGGAACGUAUGUAUUAGUCUGCUGGCAGUAAUUGUUUUGGGACUUUUUGUUCGAUAUUUUCCAAGUGAAGACCAGAAAAAACUUACAUUGAAGAGAGGAUUCCUUGUUUUGACUACGUGUGUUUCUGCUGUCUUAGGCAGCCA